GAUGAACGCUAGCUACAGGCUUAACACAUGCAAGUCGAGGGGUAGCAGGGUAGCAAUACCGCUGACGACCGGCGCACGGGUGAGUAACACGUAUCCAACCUUCCCAUAACUCUGGGAUAGCCUUUCGAAAGAAAGAUUAUUACCGGAUGGUACUUUUUCAAGGCAUCUUGAGAAAGUUAAAGAUUUAUUGGUUAUGGAUGGGGAUGCGUUCCAUUAGAUAGUUGGUGAGGUAACGGCUCACCAAGUCUUCGAUGGAUAGGGGUUCUGAGAGGAAGGUCCCCCACAUUGGUACUGAGACACGGACCAAACUCCUACGGGAGGCAGCAGUGAGGAAUAUUGGUCAAUGGGCGAGAGCCUGAACCAGCCAAGUAGCGUGAAGGAUGAAGGUCCUAUGAAUUGUAAACUUCUUUUAUAGUAGAAUAAAGUGAUCCACGUGUGGAUUUUUGUAUGUAUACUAUGAAUAAGGAUCGGCUAACUCCGUGCCAGCAGCCGCCGUAA
rnacentral:rRNA from 1 species